CACCCUUGUCUAUUCUAUCACGUUGCUUUGGCGGGCCCAUCCCUCAGCGGAUCGUCGGAGGGUCUUCCCCCCGGCCCGUGCCCGCCAGUAGCCCCCACAAAUUCUUCAAUAGUGAUGUCUAAGUCUUAACAAACAAUAAGUAAAACUUUCAACAACGGAUCUCUUGGUUCUGGCAUCGAUGAGGAACGCAGCGAAAUGCGAUAAGUAAUGCGAAUUGCAGAAUUCCGUGAGUCAUCGAAUCUUUGAACGCACAUUGCGCCCUUUGGUAUUCCGAAGGGCAUGCCUGUUCGAGCGUCAUUAUCAACCCUCAAGCCCGGCUUGCUGUUGGGUCCCGCCGCUGCAACACGCGGUGGACCCGAAAGAUAAUGGCAGAGCCCGCGGGGACCCUGGAUGCAACGAGCCUUGUGGCACGCGUCUGGGCGGUCUUCCGGCUCGGUCUUAACCACAUCUACUUCUCAGAUUGACCUCGGAUCAGGUAGGGAUACCCGCUGAACUUAAGCAUAUCA
rnacentral:rRNA from 1 species